GCGAGUCCCUACGGAAGUAAAGUAAAACUUGUCACUUGUGUUCUCAACCAUACGUAGAUAGCAACAACAUUAACAUCAUCUGGUGAUGACAGAUCAACCCUUAUUUGUUGAUAAGCUUCGGGACUUGAUGACAACGGUAGCCGUCGAAAUUUGUAUCGUCAACAAACGGUGUAGCCAUUUUAGUAAGAGAUGUAGGAUCGGCAGCUAAGUGAAGUUGAUGAAAUAUGAUGAGACUAACCCAAUCAGUAGGAUCGCUUAUUUUCAAAAUUAAACCAAUAUGUUUCAUUUCCUCAAAUUUUUCUUUAAACUGGGUCUCUAUGAUGAGCUGGGCGCACCAAAGGUAAGCUGACUUUUAAAUUUAAAUGCCAUGUUCUAACGGCAGUCAAUUCAAUUGAACACUGACUCAAAUUUGUUAAUUAAAUUAGUCACUGAUGUUUCUUAAUGAAUAAAAGGUUCACUUUUCAUUUUAGGGUUUUGUAAUGAAUCAAUUAACUUGACUACAUUGAGGACCUUACACGAAGGCAGACCCGGUCAACACCGGAACAUCAACGUCUUCAGCCACGACACAAAUUAAAGGAAAUAUUGUUAUACGCCACAUCAAGUCGUUCUUGUCCUACCACGUUUACUGGCUGUCUAUGGUUUGCUGUAACUCUUGGACCAGGUUCACACUUUUUACUUGCAACAACUUUUUCAAAAACGUGCCUUGGUAGUACAUUACACUGCUCUCUUGUGUCCACAUUAAACAUUUAGGUAAAAAUCACACUCUAAAUUUUGAGACCCGUUCUACGUAGUACGGGUACGUACUAUGUAAUAAAUUGUCUACUGUAUUUUGAGUUCCUUUUUUCCUUUGUUGUUUUCCAUCAUCAAACUGAAACCCUUUUU
rnacentral:lncRNA from 1 species